rnacentral:rRNA from 1 species
UACGUAGGGGGCUAGCGUUGUCCGGGAUCAUUGGGCGUAAAGAGCGUGUAGGCGGUCCGGUAAGUCCGCUGUGAAAGUCGGGGGCUCAACCCUCGAAUGCCGGUGGAUACUGUCGGGCUAGAGUGCGGAAGAGGCGAGUGGAAUUCCUGGUGUAGCGGUGAAAUGCGCAGAUAUCAGGAGGAACACCUAUUGCGAAGGCAGCUCGCUGGGACGUAACUGACGCUGAGACGCAAAAGCGUGGGGAGCAAACAGG